rnacentral:lncRNA from 1 species
UACCAGAACACGUGGACAUAGUGGUAGGAGUUGAUGUAGAGGCAGAGGGAGCAAAGUAACGAAUCCUGAUCAAGCAGAGAUGUCGGACCGACCAAUCCAACCUAAAUUACAACCUAUUGCUGGUCCAUAAAGCUCAAUGACGAUAUUUUAGUGAACGAUAGCAGAGAUGACAUAGAUGUAUCAAUAUAUAUAGGAAGAUGUGGUAUGAGUGCCAAUGAGACAACUCUCCAUCCAAGUAACAAUUUAUAAAAGAAAACCAUU